rnacentral:rRNA from 1 species
GAUGAACGCUGGCGGCGUGCCUAAUACAUGCAAGUCGAGCGAACAGACGAGGAUCUUGCUCCUCUUACGUUAGCGGCGCACGGGUGAGUAACACGUGGAUAACCUACCUAUAAGACUGGGAUAACUUCGGGAAAACGGAGCUAAUACCGGAUAAUAUAUUUAACCGCAUGGUUCAAUAGUGAAAGAAGGUUUUGCUGUCACUUAUAGAUGGAUCCGCGCCGCAUUAGCUAGUUGGUAUGGUAACGGAUUACGCAGGCAACCAUGCGUAGACGACCUGAGAGGAGAGUAGGACAAACUAGAACUGCACCGAGAUACAGACUCCAACGGGAGGCAACGGAGGAGAAAGGAACGCAAGUGGAGGAAGCCUAACGGAACAACGCCACGUGGGCGAUGAAAGUCUUCGGAUCUGAAAACUCUGUUAUUAGGGAAGAACAAAUGUGUAAGUAACUAUGCACGUCUUGACGGUACCUAAUCAGAAAGCCACGGCUAACUACGUG